UACGGAGGGAGCUAGCGUUGUUCGGAAUUACUGGGCGUAAAGCGCGCGUAGGCGGCUUUGUAAGUUAGAGGUGAAAGCCCGGGGCUCAACUCCGGAACUGCCUUUAAGACUGCAUCGCUUGAAUCCGGGAGAGGUAAGUGGAAUUCCGAGUGUAGAGGUGAAAUUCGUAGAUAUUCGGAAGAACACCAGUGGCGAAGGCGGCUCACUGGACCGGUAUUGA
rnacentral:rRNA from 1 species